UUUUAGCCCUGAUGGAAGCGGCAUCCCACGCUUUUUGGGGCGUGGAUACAGCGUACAGCAGGAAUUAGC
rnacentral:sRNA from 1 species